rnacentral:rRNA from 1 species
UACGGAGGGUGCAAGCGUUAAUCGGAAUUACUGGGCGUAAAGCGCACGCAGGCGGUUAUAUAAGCUAGAUGUGAAAGCCCCGGGCUUAACCUGGGAGAGUCAUUUAGAACUGUAUGACUAGAGUCUUGGAGAGGAGAGUGGAAUUUCAGGUGUAGCGGUGAAAUGCGUAGAUAUCUGAAGGAACAUCAGUGGCGAAGGCGGCUCUCUGGCCAAAGACUGACGCUCAUGUGCGAAAGCGUGGGUAGCGAACAGG